ensembl:lncRNA
GUGUCUUAAUUUUGGUUGAUGUAUUACCUGUAAUUAACAUGUGUAUGUCUCACAUACUUAAAGGUAAAGGCAUGUCCAAGCUAUCAAAAAAAGGCCUAGAAAAAAACACGAUAGCCUAUUACAAGCUUAGAAAAAAAAUAAAAACCUAUCACGUCUGCUCGUGUAGAGAUGAUAUGUGAAAAACACUUGUAAAGAAGACCAGGACGGAAGAGUACUGAAAUUCUGUCUAAAAUAUUAACUAAAUAUGAGCGGAAUAACUGCAAUCAGGGACCUUUGUGGCCACAAAAGUGUACCCAUAAUGUUGUUCUGUGAAUAAUAUUAGGGAAUACAGAAGUAACCUAAACGCCUAGGCAAUAUUCACCAGAGUAGAGCCAAAAUAAAUGUGCCAUUCUAAGAGCACUUUGCCAAAAACAGAGCUAGGUGUAAUUUAUACCAAUAAAUGUCUAUACAUAUGUAGUGUAUCUAACUUAAAAGCCAGAUAGAAUAUGAUAUGUAUCAAACCAUUAUACAGAGACCAGACAAAGCAAGCUGGACUAACAGAAAAAAAACUGACAUAAAAACAAAGGUAGAAGAGUCACAUUGAACGUCAAACUGUGUACUUGGUUACAGAUGAUGUCACUGCUGAGAAGAGAAGACAAAAAAAGGUAAUUUCAAAGACCCUUCCUGCUUGCGUUACAAAUGGCACCCUAUUCCUUAUAAAGUGCACUACUUAUAACCAGGGUCUGGUUAGGGCUCUGGUCCAACGUCGUGCACUAUUAGGGAAUAGGGUGCCAUUUCAGACUAAUCCCCUUUCUCUGUAACAUUUCACAAAUCCUACCCCAAAAAAAAUCUGUCUCCAAACUAUAAAUAGCCAGCUGAAAGUGAGGGAGGGAAGGAGCUAGAGAGCGAGCAAGGAAGGGAGGGGGGAGCAACUUGAUAAUCCUUUUCCUUGCAACAUUAGACAAGCCUCUGUCUCUUCAUCUCUCUACUCCUCUCACCGUCUCCUUAUCUCUCCUUAUCUGCCCUAGUCUUACUACCUUUCUGUUCCUCUCCCUCUAUUUUUCAUUCUCUCCUCUCCGGCAGAUUUGAGGUCUGUGUAAAGCUGGAUUCGGUUUGGAAGGUUUUUGCCGCGUUACAAACAAACCCUUCAAAAUCAAAGCCACCUGCACUUAAAAUAAAAUGUGUGUGCGUGUAUCUAAAGAGUCUCAACUCUUUAGCCUAGUCCACUACGCAAAGCGCUUUUGGCACUUGGAAAAGCACUAAGCUAUUUAUAUCCCAUUCAUGAAAUGUUGUAAAAUGUUUCAAAUGACCUGUCUGACCUUUUUUUUCUCCUGCCACUAUCCUCACGUGCAAUAGAAAAUAUUUAUCGGUACCUGAGAGCUAAAUUGACCUGGGACCAUCUAUGAGAUUUCAGUGUUUUUGGUGCAUUGUUGUUAUAUUUGGGGCAAAUAAACCUAACUUCAACCUAAGCCAUGAUCUUUUAUUGAGGCAUUGGUGCUGGAGACUAUGGGCAAAUUCCCCUACUCAAACAGUGCAUGCAUUAAUCAAAUGGGUUUGCCCUGUGCCAUUGACUAACAGGUCUCUAGAUGAUAUGAACUGAUUUCCAGACAGGUGAAAUAAUUAACCAGAUAUAGUUCUGUCAGGCAUCUGCAACGGGAAGACAACGGAACGUUCAUGGAAAUUGGGAUCUGUCCCUGUAUAAUAAGGAAGUCAAGCCCUGACCAAGGGAUGUUGAUUAUACUGUGAUGUAACAGCUAAGAUGUUGUCAAUGUUUUUAUUGGCUAUGUUGUAAAUGACAUCCCAUUUCCAAUCAAGUGCACUACUUUGAAAAUAUGAGUAGACUGUGCAAGGAUUCGGUGAAUAUUUGUGAUGCUGUCUGAAUCAUGUUUUUAUUUUUGUGGUGUGAAAAAUAAAUGUAAUGAUGACAAAGUACAAUGCACUUUAUGGUUGAGUUCUAAAUGGCACCCCAUUCCCCAUAUAGUGCACUACUUUUGAACUGAGCCUUAUGGGCUCUUGUCAAAAGUGAUGUCCCACACAGGGAACAGUGUGUAAUUUAGAAGACACUUUACAAGCGGGACAGGUUAUAAACGUUGCACUGGAAGAGUCGAAUGUAUAAUCAUAUUAUCAAAUUAUUUAUUUUUACUAUUGUAAACACAAAAAGACUGAAAUGAUGAAACAAAAAGAGGAUCAUUUGCCAAAUAAACGG